GAUCAGGGACAGUUGUUAAAAUUUAUUCUCAUUUUAAAUGGCAAAUUUUGGCUCAAUAUGAACUUCGACAACAUUUACUAUAUAGAAUCCAAACACCUUAAGAUGUAGUGGAUACCAAUGAGACAUCAACGCGACACUACAAGUCCCAUGCAGCUGCCAUUAAAACACAUAUGGCCCACACCAUUCUGUUCAACUCUAAGUAUGUGUUGCAUUUGUUUUUACUAGAACAAAAAAAAAAGUGUCUCCUGUUUUCUUUAUUUUUGCAGUCUUGCUUCGAUAUCUU
rnacentral:misc_RNA from 1 species